UUGAACGCUGGCGGCAUGCUUUACACAUGCAAGUCGAACGGUAACAGGCCUUCGGGUGCUGACGAGUGGCGAACGGGUGAGUAAUGCAUCGGAACGUGCCCAGAGGUGGGGGAUAGCGCAGCGAAAGCUGUGCUAAUACCGCAUGUGAUCUGAGGAUGAAAGCGGGGGACCAGGCAGCAAUGUUUGGCCUCGCGCCUUUGGAGCGGCCGAUGUCAGAUUAGGUAGUUGGUGGGGUAAAGGCCUACCAAGCCGACGAUCUGUAGCUGGUCUGAGAGGACGACCAGCCACACUGGGACUGAGACACGGCCCAGACUCCUACGGGAGGCAGCAGUGGGGAAUUUUGGACAAUGGGCGCAAGCCUGAUCCAGCAAUGCCGCGUGCGGGAAGAAGGCCUUCGGGUUGUAAACCGCUUUUGUACGGAACGAAAAGGCUCUGGCUAAUACCUGGGGCUGAUGACGGUACCGUAAGAAUAAGCACCGGCUAACUACGUG
rnacentral:rRNA from 1 species